GGCUUCCGAAUCUUUUUCCCCUUUCCGUUGAACCUGAUUUCCCCGUUUUCGAUCACUGUCGUUUUUUGUUGAUCUGUAAGCAAAUGACACAGAGGAGUGGUCACCCGCGAGGCCACUACUGCCUUCUCCCUUCAUGUGACAAGGCUGGCAAGGAGUUUCUCCCAAGUUUAAAAAGAGUUCCUCGUAAUAUCCCCGCUAUACCACUGUGGGCACGUGCCCCCAGAGGCUGUGAAAGCUUCCCUCCGACCGUGUCUCCAACACUAACAAUGCAUUAUGAUAGUGGAUCGAAUCUAGGAAGCCCGGGGCAUAAAAGAGACGCUCCGCAACAGCGGAGACAGCGCAGGCCGCUUUCCGAAGUCCGUGGCGCUGUAAGGCUUCUCUUCUCUGGGCCCGAGAGCGGUUUCUUGGCCUGGCUUUUCCCAACGCCUAAAGCUAUACCAGAACCACCCGGUUGUUUAUGUGACCAGUUAGUUUUGUGUCACCCAGCUGCAAGCUUAGUGCUUUAAGUCCCUUCUGUAUGUUUGAAAUGAUUCUGCUCGCGUGUAUCAAAGCCCAGACACAGAACACAACCAGGAGCUCAGAGCAGCUCCAGAGCAGGCUGAGACUCUCUGGACAACGGAGAGCUAUCAACCCCAGGCCCUCUGCUUCACUUCCAAGAACAAAGGAGCAGCCAAAGUACUACUGAAAACCCAGAGAGAGGGAGCCAGGUCUGGGGACGUGGGGGGGACACCUCAAAGCCCACGAGGGAAGAUUUUAAAAGCAAAACAAAAACAAAAGACAAAACCCAAUGUCACUAGUAUCUAUCGGCUGCAACAGCUUCGUUCCAAGUCACCAAGGGGCACCAAGUGCCCCAGGCAAAGUAGGCCACCGCUCUCCCAGCGUUGAGAUGGGAAGCCUUAACUAGCCCUUCAGUCCUGGCCCAGAAUUGUCUCCAGUUCUGAUAAAUGCGGGUCCCAGCAGAGAGGGAAGGGACAAGGUAGAGGGCACACAGACCUGGUGGGCUGGAGGGCGCAGUGGGGACCGUAGAGCCAGGCUAGGGCACAGCCUGGAGGCUCAAUGGGAACCACAAGCAGGAGGCGGAGGAGCCAGCGGGCCUCGGGGUGAGCCAGCCGGGGGUCCACGGCGGCGGGAAGGGGCCGGGCAGGGAGAGGCCGGCAGGCAGGCGCCAGGCGAUCGGGAGCCCACGGGGCCCGACUGGGGGCGCACGGGGCCGCCCGCAGGAGGGGGCCGGCGGAGGCCCCGGCGUGGAGGAAGUGAGCGGGGCGGGAGGGGUCGGAGGCAGUGGGGAGGCGGGCGAAGCUAGCUGCCUAAGCGGCCUCUCACCUGUGUCGUCCCCGCGCGUCUGGGCGGCCGC